UACGAAGGGGGCUAGCGUUGUUCGGAAUUACUGGGCGUAAAGCGCGCGCAGGCGGCCCAUCAAGUCAGGGGUGAAAGCCCGGAGCUCAACUCCGGAAUUGCCUUUGAAACUGGUGGGCUUGAGUACGGGAGAGGUGAGUGGAAUUCCCAGUGUAGAGGUGAAAUUCGUAGAUAUUGGGAAGAACACCGGUGGCGAAGGCGGGUCUCUGGGCCGAAACUGACGCUGAGGAGCGAAAGCGUGGGGAGCAAACAGG
rnacentral:rRNA from 1 species